UACGUAGGGUGCAAGCGUUAAUCGGAAUUACUGGGCGUAAAGCGUACGCAGGCGGUUGUGCAAGACAGAUGUGAAAUCCCCGGGCUCAACCCUGGGAACUGCAUUUGUGACUGCACGGCUGGAGUGCGGCAGAGGGGGGUGGAAUUCCGCGUGUAGCAGUGAAAUGCGUAGAUAUGCGGAGGAACACCGAUGGCGAAGGCAAUCCCCUGGGCCUGCACUGACGCUCAUGCACGAAAGGCGUGGGGAGCAAACAGG
rnacentral:rRNA from 1 species